rnacentral:rRNA from 1 species
AUGCAGUCGAGGGGCAGCAUAAUGGAUAGCAAUAUCUAUGGUGGCGACCGGCGCACGGGUGCGUAACGCGUAUGCAACCUACCUUUAACAGGGGGAUAACACUGAGAAAUUGGUACUAAUACCCCAUAAUAUCAUAGAAGGCAUCUUUUAUGGUUGAAAAUUCCGAUGGUUAGAGAUGGGCAUGCGUUGUAUUAGCUAGUUGGUGGGGUAACGGCUCACCAAGGCGACGAUACAUAGGGGGACUGAGAGGUUAACCCCCCACACUGGUACUGAGACACGGACCAGACUCCUACGGGAGGCAGCAGUGAGGAAUAUUGGUCAAUGGACGCAAGUCUGAACCAGCCAUGCCGCGUGCAGGAUGACGGCUCUAUGAGUUGUAAACUGCUUUUGUACGAGGGUAAACGCAGAUACGUGUAUCUGUCUGAAAGUAUCGUACGAAUAAGGAUCGGCUAACUCCGUGCCAGCAGCCGCGGUAAUACGGAGGAUUCAAGCGUUAUCCGGAUUUAUUGGGUUUAAAGGGUGCGUAGGCGGUUUGAUAAGUUAGAGGUGAAAUUUCGGGGCUCAACCCUGAACGUGCCUCUAUACUGUUGAGCUAGAGAGUAGUUGCGGUAGGCGGAAUGUAUGGUGUAGCGGUGAAAUGCUUAGAGAUCAUACAGAACACCGAUUGCGAAAGGCAGCUUACCAAACUAUAUCUGACGUUGAGGC